rnacentral:rRNA from 1 species
UACGUAGGGGGCUAGCGUUGUCCGGAUUUAUUGGGCGUAAAGAGCGUGUAGGCGGCCAGGUAGGUCUGCUGUGAAAACUCGAGGCUCAACCUCGAGACGUCGGCGGAAACCAUCUGGCUAGAGUCCGGAAGAGGAGAGUGGAAUUCCUGGUGUAGCGGUGAAAUGCGCAGAUAUCAGGAAGAACACCGAUGGCGAAGGCAGGUCUCUGGGCCACUACUGACGCUGAGAAGCGAAAGCUAGGGGAGCGAACAGG